AAGACAUUGUGUCUUCGAGUCGUUGAUUUCACACUGCCGAGAAAAGCCUCUAGAUAGAAAAUAGGUGCCCGUACCGCAAACCGACACAGGUAGUCAAGAUGAGAAUUCUAAGGUGAGCGAGCGAACUCUCGUUAAGGAACUCGGCAAAAUGACCCCGUAACUUCGGGAGAAGGGGUGCUCUUUAGGGUUAACGCCCAGAAGAGCCGCAGUGAAUAGGCCCAAGCGACUGUUUAUCAAAAACACAGGUCUCUGCUAAACCGUAAGGUGA
rnacentral:rRNA from 1 species